rnacentral:tRNA from 1 species
GCCUGAGUGGCUCAGUGGUGGAGCGUCUGCCUUUGGCUCAGGUCAUGAUCCUGGGGUCCUGGGAUCGAGUCCCGCAUCAGGCU